UCGAUCAAUCAUAACAUUUUC
rnacentral:piRNA from 1 species